rnacentral:rRNA from 1 species
GGUUAAGCGACUAAGCGUACACGGUGGAUGCCCCGGCAGUCAGAGGCGAUGAAGGACGUGCUAAUCUGCGAAAAGCGUCGGUAAGGUGAUAUGAACCGUUAUAACCGGCGAUGUCCGAAUGGGGAAACCCAGUGCAAUUCGUUGCACUAUCGUUAACUGAAUACAUAGGUUAACGAGGCGAACCGGGGAACUGAAACAUCUAAGUACCCCGAGGAAAAGAAAUCAACCGAGAUUCCCCAGUAGCGGCGAGCGAACGGGGAGCAGCCCAGAGUCUGAAUCAGCUUGUGUGUUAGUGGAACGGUCUGGAAAGUCCGACGGUACAGGGUGAUAGUCCCGUACACCAAAAUGCACAGGCUGUGAACUCGAAGAGUAGGGCGGGACACGUGGUAUCCUGUCUGAAUAUGGGGGACCAUCCUCCAAGGCUAAAUACUCCUGACUGACCGAUAGUGAACCAGUACCGUGAGGGAAAGGCGAAAAGAACCCCGGCGAGGGAGUGAAAAAGAACCUGAAACCGUGUACGUACAAGCAGUGGGAGCACCUUCGGGUGUGACUGCGUACCUUUGUAUAAUGGGUCAGCGACUUAUAUUCUGUAGCAAGGUUAACCGUAUAGGGGAGCCGCAGGAAACCGAGUCUUAACUGGGCGUUAAGUUGCAGGGUAUAGACCCGAAACCCGGUGAUCUAGCCAUGGGCAGGUUGAAGGUUGGGUAACACUAACUGGAGGACCGAACCGACUAAUGUUGAAAAAUUAGCGGAUGACUUGUGGCUGGGGUGAAAGGCCAAUCAAACCGGGAGAUAGCUGGUUCUCCCCGAAAGCUAUUUAGGUAGCGCCUCGUGAACUCAUCUUCGGGGUAGAGCACUGUUUCGGCUAGGGGUCAUCCCGACUUACCAACCCGAUGCAAACUACGAAUACCGAAGAAUGUUAUCACGGGAGACACACGGCGGGUGCUAACGUCCGUCGUGAAGAGGGAAACAACCCAGACCGCCAGCUAAGGUCCCAAAGUCAUGGUUAAGUGGGAAACGAUGUGGGAAGGCACAGACAGCCGGGAUGUUGGCUUAGAAGCAGCCAUCAUUUAAAGAAAGCGUAAUAGCUCACUGGUCGAGUCGGCCUGCGCGGAAGAUGUAACGGGGCUAAACCAUGCACCGAAGCUGCGGCAGCGACACUAUGUGUUGUUGGGUAGGGGAGCGUUCUGUAAGCCUGCGAAGGUGUGCUGUGAGGCAUGCUGGAGGUAUCAGAAGUGCGAAUGCUGACAUAAGUAACGAUAAAGCGGGUGAAAAGCCCGCUCGCCGGAAGACCAAGGGUUCCUGUCCAACGUUAAUCGGGGCAGGGUGAGUCGACCCUAAGGCGAGGCCGAAAGGCGUAGUCGAUGGGAAACAGGUUAAUAUUCCUGUACUUGGUGUUACUGCGAAGGGGGACGGAGAAGGCUAUGUUAGCCGGGCGACGGUUGUCCCGGUUUAAGCAUGUAGGCUGAUUGUCCGAGGCAAAUCCGGAUAAUCAAGGCUGAGGUGUGAUGACGAGGCACUACGGUGCUGAAGUAACAAAUGCCCUGCUUCCGAGGAAAAGCCUCUAAGCAUCAGGUAACAUUAAAUCGUACCCCCAAACCGACACAGGUGGUCAGGUAGAGAAUACCAAGGCGCUUGAGAGAACUCGGGUGAAGGAACUAGGCAAAAUGGUGCCGUAACUUCGGGAGAAGGCACGCUGGUGUGUAGGUGAAGUCCCUGCGGAUGGAGCUGAGACCAGUCGAAGAUACCAGCUGGCUGCAACUGUUUAUUAAAAACACAGCACUGUGCAAACACGAAAGUGGACGUAUACGGUGUGACGCCUGCCCGGUGCCGGAAGGUUAAUUGAUGGGGUUAUCCGUAAGGAGAAGCUCUUGAUCGAAGCCCCGGUAAACGGCGGCCGUAACUAUAACGGUCCUAAGGUAGCGAAAUUCCUUGUCGGGUAAGUUCCGACCUGCACGAAUGGCGUAAUGAUGGCCGGGCUGUCUCCACCCGAGACUCAGUGAAAUUGAACUCGCUGUGAAGAUGCAGUGUACCCGCGGCAAGACGGAAAGACCCCGUGAACCUUUACUAUAGCUUGACACUGAACAUUGAGCCUUGAUGUGUAGGAUAGGUGGGAGGCUUUGAAGCGUGGACGCCAGUCUGCGUGGAGCCAACCUUGAAAUACCACCCUUUAAUGUUUGAUGUUCUAACGUUGGCCCCUGACCGGGGUUGCGGACAGUGUCUGGUGGGUAGUUUGACUGGGGCGGUCUCCUCCCAAAGCGUAACGGAGGAGCACGAAGGUUAGCUAAUCCUGGUCGGACAUCAGGAGGUUAGUGCAAUGGCAUAAGCUAGCUUGACUGCGAGCGUGACGGCGCGAGCAGGUGCGAAAGCAGGUCAUAGUGAUCCGGUGGUUCUGAAUGGAAGGGCCAUCGCUCAACGGAUAAAAGGUACUCCGGGGAUAACAGGCUGAUACCGCCCAAGAGUUCAUAUCGACGGCGGUGUUUGGCACCUCGAUGUCGGCUCAUCACAUCCUGGGGCUGAAGUAGGUCCCAAGGGUAUGGCUGUUCGCCAUUUAAAGUGGUACGCGAGCUGGGUUUAGAACGUCGUGAGACAGUUCGGUCCCUAUCUGCCGUGGGCGCUGGAGAAUUGAGGGGGCUGCUCCUAGUACGAGAGGACCGGAGUGGACGCAUCACUGGUGUUCGGGUUGUCAUGCCAAUGGCACUGCCCGGUAGCUAAAUGCGGAAGAGAUAAGUGCUGAAAGCAUCUAAGCACGAAACUUGCCCCGAGAUGAGUUCUCCCUGAGACUUUAAGUCUCCUGAAGGAACGUUAAAGACGAUGACGUUGAUAGGCCGGGUGUGUAAGCGCAGCGAUGCGUUGAGCUAACCGGUACUAAUGAACCGUGAGGCUUAACCUU